GUUAAGCGACUAAGCGUACACGGUGGAUGCCCUGGCAGUCAGAGGCGAUGAAGGACGUGCUAAUCUGCGAUAAGCGUCGGUAAGGUGAUAUGAACCGUUAUAACCGGCGAUUUCCGAAUGGGGAAACCCAGUGUGAUUCGUCACACUAUCAUUAACUGAAUCCAUAGGUUAAUGAGGCGAACCGGGGGAACUGAAACAUCUAAGUACCCCGAGGAAAAGAAAUCAACCGAGAUUCCCCCAGUAGCGGCGAGCGAACGGGGAGCAGCCCAGAGCCUGAAUCAGUGUGUGUGUUAGUGGAAGCGUCUGGAAAGGCGCGCGAUACAGGGUGACAGCCCCGUACACAAAAAUGCACAUGCUGUGAGCUCGAUGAGUAGGGCGGGACACGUGGUAUCCUGUCUGAAUAUGGGGGGACCAUCCUCCAAGGCUAAAUACUCCUGACUGACCGAUAGUGAACCAGUACCGUGAGGGAAAGGCGAAAAGAACCCCGGCGAGGGGAGUGAAAAAGAACCUGAAACCGUGUACGUACAAGCAGUGGGAGCACGCUUAGGCGUGUGACUGCGUACCUUUUGUAUAAUGGGUCAGCGACUUAUAUUCUGUAGCAAGGUUAACCGAAUAGGGGAGCCGAAGGGAAACCGAGUCUUAACUGGGCGUUAAGUUGCAGGGUAUAGACCCGAAACCCGGUGAUCUAGCCAUGGGCAGGUUGAAGGUUGGGUAACACUAACUGGAGGACCGAACCGACUAAUGUUGAAAAAUUAGCGGAUGACUUGUGGCUGGGGGUGAAAGGCCAAUCAAACCGGGAGAUAGCUGGUUCUCCCCGAAAGCUAUUUAGGUAGCGCCUCGUGAAUUCAUCUCCGGGGGUAGAGCACUGUUUCGGCAAGGGGGUCAUCCCGACUUACCAACCCGAUGCAAACUGCGAAUACCGGAGAAUGUUAUCACGGGAGACACACGGCGGGUGCUAACGUCCGUCGUGAAGAGGGAAACAACCCAGACCGCCAGCUAAGGUCCCAAAGUCAUGGUUAAGUGGGAAACGAUGUGGGAAGGCCCAGACAGCCAGGAUGUUGGCUUAGAAGCAGCCAUCAUUUAAAGAAAGCGUAAUAGCUCACUGGUCGAGUCGGCCUGCGCGGAAGAUGUAACGGGGCUAAACCAUGCACCGAAGCUGCGGCAGCGACG
rnacentral:rRNA from 1 species